rnacentral:rRNA from 1 species
CAGCAGCCGCGGUAACACAUAGGGCAUAAGCGUUAUCCGGAUUUAUUGGGCGUAAAGGGUCCGUAGGCUGUUUAUCACAUCUCCUGUUAAAUCAUCCGGCUUAACCAGGUGGCUGCGGGAGAGAUGGAUAAACUAGAGACCGGAAGAGGCAAGUGGAAUUGCUGGUGUAGGGGUUAAAUCCAUUAAUAUCAGCAGGAACACCGAAUGCGAAGGCAACUUGCUAAGGCGGUUCUGACGCUCAGGGACGAAAGCGUGGGGAGCGAAUGGGAUUAGAUACCCCAGUAGUCCACGCUGUAAACGAUGGAUGCUAAGCAUUGGAAGUAUCGACCCUUUCAGUGCUGUUAUUUUAAGGUAACCCGUUAAGCAUCCCGCCUGGGGAGUACGAGCGCAAGCUUAAAACUCAAAGGAAUAGACGGGGACCCGCACAAGCGGUGGAACAUGUGGUUUAAUUCGACGAUAAGCGAAAAACCUCACCAAGGUUUGACAUCUAGCUGCACGCCCUAGAAAUAGGGAAGCCUUCGAGGGUGCUAGACAGAUGCUGCAUGGUUGCCGUCAGCUCGUGUCGUGAGAUGUACCGUUUAGUCGGAAAACGAGCGCAACCCUUAUCCUAUGUUUCAUGUGUCAUAGGAGACUGCCCGCUUUAAGUGGGAGGAAGGUGGGGAUGACGUCAAAUCAGCAUGGUUCCAAACACYUUGGGCAACACACGUGCUACAAUGGGGAAUACAAAGGGACGCUAAGCCGUAAGGUGGAGCAAAUCCCUAAAAAUUUCUCUCAGUUCGGAUUGAGGUCUGCAAUUCGACCUCAUGAAGCUGGAAUCGCUAGUAAUCGUGGAUCAGCACGCCACGGUGAAUACGUUCCCGGGUCUUGUACUCACCGCCCGUCAAGUCAAGGGAGUCGGCAGUACCCGAAUUCGCGGCACGGCGAAAGAAGUCACGAGCCUAGGGUACAGUGGGUAGUGUGGACUAAGUCGUAACAAGGUAUCCGUA